GACAGAGGGUGCAAACGUUGUUCGGAAUUACUGGGCGUAAAGCGUGUGUAGGCGGCUCGUCACGUCGGAUGUGAAAGCCCCGGGCUCAACCCGGGAAGUGCACUCGAUACGGACGAGCUGGAGUCUCGGAGAGGUGGGUAGAAUUCCCGGUGUAGAGGUGAAAUUCGUAGAUAUCGGGAGGAAUACCUGUGGCGAAGGCGGCCCACUGGACGAAGACUGACGCUGAGACACGAAAGCGUGGGGAGCGAACAGG
rnacentral:rRNA from 1 species